AAAAUAUAAAAAACUAACCGUGAAACACGAAAUCAUCACUCUCUCUGUGCCUCGCCACUCUUCCUCACACAAACUACUCUCUCAGAGCCUUAUUCUCUCUGAGAAGUGAUAACCACACACUAAUCUUCUUCUCAAACUUACUCUCGCUCUCACAUCUCCAUCAUUUCAUUUCCUCAUUGCUCAAAUCUCUUCCAGUUAUCAUCUCAAUCUUAAUCGCGCUCUGAAUCCUUUUCUUUGACAAGCUUGUGUUGAUUUCGAUUGAAAUCUCAAUCGCGCUCUAGUAAUCAGUUUGGACCGUAUGCUUGGAGAACAUAUAAGGAAGUGUAUGAUGAAGUUCUGCAUAUUGGUUCUGCUUUAGAAAAGCCUCUGAUGCGAAACCUGUUUCCUUUGUUUCAGUUCAAGGUUUCGAGUAAAGCAAGAUGUUGCGUGCUAUAAGGCAUAAGAGUAUCCGUCCUGCCUCCAGUGCAUUUAGAGCUUUUUCUUCUACAGCUAAAGAGAAAAGGUACUUUUCAAGAAAGCUUAAUGCCGACAAGAACAAAUAAAAAGUUUGCAAUUCUUCAAAUUUAAGUGGUUCUGGUCGCAUGUUUUUUGGGGACGAGGGAUCAUCCAUCCAACAGCAGUCUACUUCAUUCUCGCCAUUCGAUGGAAUAUAGUAUGGAACUAUCUAUGUGUUUUAAGUCACUUUUCAAUCUUUUGCAUUGAAGUACUUUAGAAAACUCCAUCAUUGCUAAAUGUGAUGAAUUUGCUUGUUAGUUCAACCUACAUUAUUGGAGUGGAGACAUAUUGUAUUGGAAAUUCUUGUCUCAAAAUGACAAGUUUUAAAGCACAUGUUGAUAGUGAAACAUCAUUUACAUUUCUUCCUAGACAUGUGUAUGAAUCCAUAGCAGAAGAGGUACUUCGGUUUUUAAAAUUUGAUGUAGACAAUUAUUAGUUGUUAUUGUACAUUUGUACUUAUGUAAAUCCUUCAGAGCUGGCUUAAUAUGGUUAUAUUUGUGGCAAUUUAAUAAAAAUCUAAAUGCUUCAAGAGCUACCUUCAAAGAUACUCCCUAGGAGUAUUGUUAUGCUUUUCAGGUGAAUAUACUCUAUCUCACUCAUUUGUACUUUUCUCCUCAAUGUUUGGGUGUCCUAAAUGGAUGAUUUCUAUAAUUUCUCUUUUUUUUCCUUUUUAAAAUCUUUGUUCAUUCAGUUCACAAGACUUGCCAAAGAUUCCCACCUUAACACUUAUGUUCCAACAGAAUAACAACUUUGUGCUCUAUAAUCCUGUGUUUGUAUUCAAUGUCAAUCAGAAAACAACUGCAUUUUGUUUAGCCAUAGAGCCAGCUGAAGGAAAUAUGGGAACAAUAGGAUCUUUCUCCUAAAUGAACCGACUAGUUUGAUUCUGGCAUUCAGGUCACUCCUACAAGAAGCUCAUUUUGAGAUAGAAGAGGACAUAGCAACCCUGUAGGAAGCUCAUUUUGAGUUUAUAGACUUGUAGUAUUUUUUAUUGUUUAGAUUUGUAAUAUGAUUUAUUACUUUUUAAAAGAAAUUUGUGU